UACGUAGGGUGCAAGCGUUGUCCGGAAUUAUUGGGCGUAAAGAGCUCGUAGGCGGUCUGUCGCGUCGGCUGUGAAAUCCCGGAGCUCAACUCCGGGUCUGCAGUCGAUACGGGCAAACUGGAGUACUGCAGGGGAGACUGGAAUUCCUGGUGUAGCGGUGAAAUGCGCAGAUAUCAGGAGGAACACCGGUGGCGAAGGCGGGUCUCUGGGCCAUAAACUGACGCUGGAGGAGCGAAAGCCGUGGGGAGCAACAGGA
rnacentral:rRNA from 1 species